rnacentral:rRNA from 1 species
UUGGAGGGCAAGUCUGGUGCCAGCAGCCGCGGUAAUUCCAGCUCCAAUAGCGUAUAUUAAAGUUGUUGCAGUUAAAAAGCUCGUAGUUGAAUUUCGGGGUCAGUAGGUUGGUCAUGCCACCGGUAUGUACUGGUCUCACUGAUUCCUCCUUCCUGAUGAACUGUAAUGCCAUUAAUUUGGUGUUGCAGGGAAUCUGGACUGUUACUUUGAAGAAAUUAGAGUGUUUAAAGCAGGCUAACGCCUGAAUACAUUAGCAUGGAAUAAUGAAAUAGGACGUUCGAUCCUGUUUUGUUGGUUUCUAGGAUUGACGUAAUGAUUAAUAGGGAUAGCUGGGGGCAUUAGUAUUCAAUUGUCAGAGGUGAAAUUCUUGGAUUUAUUGAAGACUAACUACUGCGAAAGCAUUUGCCAAGGAUGUUUUCAUUAAUCAAGAACGAAAGUUAGGGGAUCGAAGACGAUCAGAUACCGUCGUAGUCUUAACCAUAAACUAUGCCGACUAGGGAUCGGAUGAUGUUAAUUUUUUAAUGACUCAUUCGGCGCCUUACGGGAAACCAAAGUGUUUGGGUUC